rnacentral:rRNA from 1 species
AUUGAACGCUGGCGGCAGGCUUAACACAUGCAAGUCGAGCGGAGAUGAGGUGCUUGCACCUUAUCUUAGCGGCGGACGGGUGAGUAAUGCUUAGGAAUCUGCCUAUUAGUGGGGGACAACAUUCCGAAAGGAAUGCUAAUACCGCAUACGUCCUACGGGAGAAAGCAGGGGAUCUUCGGACCUUGCGCUAAUAGAUGAGCCUAAGUCGGAUUAGCUAGUUGGUGGGGUAAAGGCCAACCAAGGCGACGAUCUGUAGCGGGUCUGAGAGGAUGAUCCGCCACACUGGGACUGAGGCACGGCCCAGACUCCUACGGGAGGCAGCAGUGGGGAAUAUUGGACAAUGGAGGAAACCCUGAUCCAGCCAUGCCGCGUGUGUGAAGAAGGCCUUAUGGUUGUAAAGCACUUUAAGCGAGGAGGAGGCUACUGAGACUAAUACUCUUGGAUAGUGGACGUUACUCGCAGAAUAAGCACCGGCUAACUCUGUGCCAGCAGCCGCCGUAA